rnacentral:rRNA from 1 species
ACUUUAAUUGAAGAGUUUGAUCAUGGCUCAGAUUGAACGCUGGCGGCAGGCCUAACACAUGCAAGUCGAGCGGAAACGGCAG